rnacentral:rRNA from 1 species
GACGUAGGAUGCAAGCGUUGUCCGGAUUUAUUGGGCGUAAAGAGUUCGUAGGUGGUUUGUUAAGUCUGAUGUUAAAGACUGGGGCUCAACCUCGGAAAUGCAUUGGAUACUGGCAGACUUGAGUGUGGUAGAGGCAAUCGGAACUCCAGAUGUAGCGGUGAAAUGCGUAGAUAUCUGGAAGAACACCGGUGGCGCAAGCGGAUUGCUGGGCCAUAACUGACACUGAGGAACGAAAGCUAGGGGAGCAAAUGGG